rnacentral:lncRNA from 1 species
CGCGUGCUUAUGCUGUCUCAGACGACAAGAUGAUGAGCCGUGCUCACACCCCAACACGGCGUGCAAGCGGAAACAAGAUGGUGAGCCGGGCUCGCUCAUCCCCCCUCUGCUACUAGUGAUUUGAAGUUAACCGGUGCCUAAUGAGCUGGAGUUACUGACAAUCUUUAAUCUAGUCAUGUGAAUUGUACUAGUGCUUAAUGAAUUACGUGAUGUGUAUGUGCAUGAACUACAUGGUGCGUAUAUGUCCUUGGAUUUUCUAAUCGCUGCGGUCUCAUCUGGCAGAUGGACAAGAACGAGAUGGCACCGGUCCAGGGGGUGCCGCGCAUGCGGGGGAGCAUCGCGUCGUCAAGUGCGGUUGGUAAGUACGUAUACUUUAUGCUGCUUUUAUUUUUGUCAGCAUCGUCUCAAUGCAGGCUACAUUGGCAAACAAGCUGCGUAACUCUUGUCCAUGCCGGGUUUUUUUCAUCACUAGCACAUAUGCCUGUUGCGUUGCAAUGGGAAAAACUGAUGUUUUAUGCAAGCAUAAUGCCUCACCACAUCGGAUUCCCUAUGAAGAAAAUGUUGCAACAUAGCAUCCUUCUACAAAAUGAACAUAAAAAAAUACGAUGCAAUUUAGCCGUUUUAUGUUUUCUUUACCGGGCGUAAUCUUCCACUGAUUCAUUUAAAUAUAGUCAUUCCUUGAAUUACCAUGACGUCCUCAUCCAUUUUAGUCGGGAAUCAAAUCCUUCAUUUUUCUAAUUUAGUAGCCCCAACACAUUGAAGCCUAUAGACCCUUCCUUUUAAUUAUCCUACUUUUUUUGAACUUUUAAUUAUCCUACCUUAUUUUUGAACUUUUAAUUAUCCUACAUUUUUAGCUAAAGUUCUUCCUUAAAUUAGCCUCAUCUAUUUUAAUAUUCUAUUUAUUAAGACCACAAUCUUUCUUUUAAUUAUUUCACUGGUUUGCCAUAAUUCUUUCUUUAAUUAGCCAUAUCCAUUUAAAUAUUUUCUUUGAGGCUACAAUCCUUCCUUUAAUUAGCUCGCCCUAAACAUCAGGACUGCCACUCGUAUGUUUAGAGCGAGUUGGGAUUAGUAAAUGUGAAUGGCGCAUAGGUCGUUGGUUGUUAAAUCAAAGAUCCAGACAGGAGGUCCUGUGUUCAAUUGCCACAAUAUUGGUUAUUUUGUCCCAACUAUUUUGUCGCGGUCUCUGUGAAAACUCAUAAAAGGUCCAUCACGUACAAGUACCUGGCCCAAAUAGCUUAGCCUGUGUAUGAGCCAACGAAAAGGACUAAACCAAACCAAGAAUACUUAUUCCCUUUAAUAGUAGGUAUAGAUUUGUAUACUGAUAUUGGACUGAAGCUUGUUUGCUCUGUCCAUGCUGGGCCUUUUUGUCAUCAUUAGUAUUGUUACAUAUUAGCUGAAGCUGCACAUAUUUUCUUUCCAUUAACGUUUGUUGGGCGGUGCUACGCAUCAAUCGGCAGAUCGUUGGCCGCCUUACUCACCUGAUUUUAAUCAAGUCCCACCUAGGAGUAGUUUGUUUUGUCACUAGCCGUGUAAGACAUAUGAACUGUAAUAAGAAACAUGCAAUGGCUAGAAACAUCUUCGUACAUUUUUCUGGGCAUGUUUUAAGUGUCAACAAAAUUAGUCUCAUCGCCUGUCGUCUGAUUGACACAUGGAGCAUUGGAUCACACUACAUGGCUGCAGAGAGAAUGGAACCCGUCUUCCUCCAUAGCCUCCACAAUGCAUGUGUAUCCCCUAGCCCCUCCCCCAUCGUCGCAACAGGAUAUUACAUCAGCCCCUCGCAACACCUGGCAUCGGUGCCCUGGAGAUCCCCAAUGUCGCUUGCAUAUCCUGCAAGUAUUAUUACAGUGCGCCAACGAGGCGUCUUCCUUGCAACAUUGUCUUACAGCCAGUGUAGUUGAUGCCACCACCACCCUCACCCAUAGACACAUGGGUCGUUGCUUGUGGCACUGGUCGUCAGAUAAAACACACCCCACGAGAACAUGCGAUUGGACCACUGCGAUCUAUGCAACUUAGGAAUUGUUGUGACAGCCCCUGCAAAACUAGCGAUGAUGCGACCAUCGCCCUGCAACAUCUGCCGUAGUUGUAGCACAUAUGAGAAGAUGGUUGUAGGACCUAACAAAAGUAUGUGAUUGUAGCACCACAAGUGAGCACUGCCUUGCAACAUCAGCUAUCAUGAUGCAACACCGACAAACACACUUGCAGCCUUGAAACAUUGUGUGCCUUGGCUGAUGUAGCCUAGUGCUCCUCUUUCAGCAUAUAGUGAUGGCUUGUAGCAGUGAUGGUCGGAGAGUCACAUCAUCGGUGAGUGUCAGUGCUAGCCCAACUCAUCGUCAUAGAGAAAGGGGAACAAAGGAUGGGUGUGUACAUGGUGGAAAUAAAGCGAAUGGGUAUAGUGAAGAGAGAGGAAGACUAACAAGGGGCAUCUGGCGCUAGAGCGAGUUGACUCAUUCACACUCGCUUCACCCUGAAACCAGUCAUUGAAUAUAAUUCCAAUUUCUAUUGAAAGACCUCAUAAAAUGUUGCAACAUGCGAGCAUGUCUAUACAAAAAAGUUGUACGUAUACAACACAUGGAUCAUCGGCAUGCAACUACAGGCUCUUCCUAGGUUACGCCCAACUGUGAGCCGUUCAGUUGGGUCACACAUCACUACCCAAUCAACCACCAACUUACUUGUUCCUCUAGUCUCCUCUCCCCACCCUUCGCAGCAUACACCCAUGAUUCUCAGCAAUGGACCAGCAUGGAGCCGACAAUGGUGGCCAUGAUAGGCUAGUGAAAAGCACACUGGUGAUCAACCUAACACUAAACACAACACUGCAACAUGAGGUAACCCCAACUUUGUAGCACUGGUGCACCAUUUUGCAGCAAAGAAAAACAUGCCAAUGACCCGCCUUGCAGCACUAUCAACCACCUUGUAGCAAUGAAAAGUUCACCGGCCAAUAGCUUUGCCGCAUCAAGUGACCGACUUCUAGCACUGAACAACUGGGCUUGCAGCACUGCGAUGAUCGAUGGUCGGCCUUGCAACAGUAUUAGUUGACAUUGCACACCUCAUCUCUAUUUUUAUGUACAUACACAUGAGUGAGAUUGGAACAUCAGUAACGUAUCAACAUUAGCAACCUUGAAGAUGAUAAGUUUGCUUCUCCAAGCAUCGACAUUACUGAACAAGCGAGCAACUGCACACCCACCCCAUGAGCCAUAUUUUCUGAGCACUGCUACAAUCAAUUAUAGUUGGAAAAGUGCCGACAAUGAUAGUUGUAUGUGAUCAAAAUAUAUUAAAUGUAGGGGUGGUUGGACUGCCUAUGUUGAAUCAGGCUAGACGCGAGGUCACAAGUGUCUUGCCUGAAUAGCCAACAAGACAAAAGGAGGCCUCCUAGGUUCAAUCCUGAAGCUAAGCAUAACUCCAGCUCCAGACACGCUCAGGGGAUACUAAAGGUGCACUACACUAGGGGUGUCCUCUAGGUGGGAAGCAUGGUAGCAGGCCUGCCUUAGGGCCCAAGAGGCCAAGUGGAGGAUCGGUGCAGGAGGGGAGCUAAUGAGCCCAGAUAAGGACUGUGAGAGCAUCUUGGCAGGCAAGCUAAGAUGGCGGCGGUAUGACAUCUGAUGGAUUCCUUAUAAACCUAGCCCUCAUCACGUAUAUAAGGAGGGGCUAAUGGUUGUCAUUCGCAUAUAGUCUCGUAGACUAAUACUCUCUGUAGCAUUAUACAUCACCACCACUCUAAACCCCUCGCACAAGGUGCUCCACCAUGAAAAAAAAUCAGAUACAUGAUGUAGGGCAUUACCUCUCACCGAGGGCCUGAACCUAGGUAAAACACUUGCGUGAAAUCCCUUCUCGUGUAUCCGGACGUGUUCACCACCCUACUAUGGGUACUAACGGUUUUACAUGCUAUCACAUAGUUACGCCCCGACACAUUUUCUCUGGGGAGUUGAAAGCAACUCAUGGUGUAAGUAGGUGUUGGUUGCAACAUUGAUUUUACUAGCACCUCCUUUCCCGCCUUCGAGAUACCUUGUUCUUCCUAUCCAACCACUUUGCCAUUUGAGCUUUCUCUAUCAUGUUUAAAAUUUGCUUCCUCUGACCUGCCCACCACAGUUGGGAGCCCUAAAUAAUGCUCGCUCAAUGCCCUAGGAUCAGUGCAAAGAUAUUGACAACAACUUUGUACUCCUAUUUGCCUCACUUCCCGAACAAAGUUGAGGCUUUUUGAAGAUUUAUCAUUUGUCCCGGGGCCCAGUCGUAGUCAAAGAGGAUCUAUUUAAGGUUACAAAGUUGCCAUUUGACAGUUGAAGAAAUACAAUACUAUAAACUGCAAAAAUUAGAUGGGCUACAUGGGGCUAGUGCUCCCAAAAGAUAUACAAUUGAUCUCUUUCUCUUUGAGCAUUCAUGAGAAAGGCCGAAAAACUCGCAACAUAGAAAAUAAACAAAUAGGGGGACCAUGGGUCUCCUUGCUAGAUCCCUCUUGAUAGUGUAAAAAUGACAGAGCACACUCCAUUCAAUUUGAUAGAAAACCUGGCCGGGGUACCACACAUCAUAAUCAUCACGAUCAACCUAUCAGAGAAGCCAAGUGCCCUCACCAUCAGAUCAACGAAAAUCCAAACCACCCUCUUAUAGGCCUUCAUCAUGUAUAGUUUAAUUGCGAACAUUAGAUCUUUCUAUUCUUGAACGAACAUACUUUGCUCCUCCGUGAUCAUUACAGAUAUGACAACCUUCAAUCUCUUUGCUAGGCCUUUGAAGCAAUCUGACUGAGUGUGUUCAAUAGGCUGAUUGAUCCCAUUUGAGGAUGUAUCUCCAGUGAGUUAAUUUUGGGGAUCUGGACUGGAACUGUAUCCCUGAAGUUUGGAGAAAUAACUCAAUUAAAAAAUCCACUAUUACUAUGCGUACAUCAUUUUUUAGAAAUGACUAGUGAAAUUGGUAAACAUAAGUCGAGAGGUUGUCUGGCCCUUGCGCUUUUGUCAGCCCAAUUUAGAAUUGUGCAUUCUCAAUUACUUCAUCCAUCAUGAUCCGUGUUUACUCUCUCCUCCAUAUCACUAGUCACUCAUGGUUGGAUGUCAGCUAAGAUGUGGUCAGCUUCAGCAGAGAAUUCUGAAGAAAACAAGUAUGCAUAGAAAUCGGCCGAAAUCUUCCCCAUCUCAUUGUCAAUAGUACAGAUCAUUCCAUCCGCCCUCAUGUUUUGAUCGUCUUCCUUGAGAAAUUCCAGUCGAGAACAUUGCCUAUACAUUAUUUGUUCCCAUGCAUGAACCACAUGAAGCUACGUGUCAAUAUCGCUGAUUUUCGGUGAGGAUGUCUGGAUCCCAAUGCUCUUCCCUUUCCAUCGAAGCUAGACCUUGUGCCUAGUAAUCUCACAUCAUACGGAACAAAACACCGAGCUACUGCAAUGUUGCAUAUCAUUGGUGACAUUGUCACGCUUCUGUAGAGCUCACUCUGGCCGAAAUUGUUAACACAUGCACACUCCCAUGUCUCCAUGGGGCAUCCACCUCUCCUCAAACGUUAAUGCCCGCUUCUUACUUUUGGUAAUGGCUAGGUUUUCUAGUACUCUAUAGUGAGCAAAGCAUGGUCUGGUCCUCCAUGAGAACAUGUUCAAUGGGUGUAUCCUACAAUGAAUGCAUGAAAUCGUCAUUGCAUGGACCCCUAUCCAGAUGUACCUAAAUGAUCUCGUCCUCCUCCCUCUUAUUGUCCCAUGUGUACAUGUAGCUCCUAAACGAUGGUUUAAAAAGCUAUUAUUGACUAUGCUCUCCCUAAUGUUCUCCAUUUGUGUGAAACUCCUCAAGUAAUCUCCUAGUUGUUAUGAUUAAAAGAAUUCUUUGUUGAGGUAUCAUUGUCACAGAUAAAUGUAUUAUUAGGAUACAGUCUCUCAGAGCCUCCCUUAGCUACACAAAUUUGUUUAAAUCUCCCUUCCUAUCCAGUAGCUUUAGCUGAUAAUCCUUGUGACAAAUUUGGUGGUCAUCUUUCCCAAUCGUCUUGCACCCUUUCCCAUAUAGUUUUUUCUUAUGUCUUGCUUCCUUUCAUGCUCCUUUCUCAUGUCCCACUUCCUUUUGACAUGUAAAUCAUCCCUUAGUUCACAAUCAUGUCACCGAUCUUGCAUGCAUUGGUCCUCCCUGCACUUCGUCUUUCUUAGACAGUUACCCUCUACAAGACCAUCUUCAGGAUCCUCGCUUGUGAGAGAGUCCACAAAGGGAGUACAAUCAUUGUAUCACAUGCGCCUAAAUGGGAGGACAUGCAACGCUACAUGACCCCUGCGACCAUAGACGCCCUUGCUUUACCUAGUGCUCCCAAAACUAAAGUUCCUGCUUUCUAUCGCCGAGUUCCAUGUCGGUGUACUGAACUAGGGCUCUCCUUUGUACCCCUUACUUGUGCAUGGGCAGUCAUAGCCGCGCCCACGACCACACUUAGCAGGGCAGAAGGAGGAGUCAAAGACGCAAGACGGUCAAAACAAUGCCAAGACCAGAGACACGAAGGCCAAGGGAGCGAGGUGGACUCCGUCGGCAAGACCCUUCCCGGGGCAGCCCCCGCAGCCCCGACAAUAAUCUUGCCGGGGAAACUUGCCCAACACCAGCAGAGCGCGCCACCCUUGAGCCCAAUAUUUCCAAACACCAUCAACCACGUUGGAACCAGGGCUCGGGAGGCACCUCUGUUGUGGCGUGCAGAUCUUUGUGAAGACAAGGAUCAGAAGACGACGAUCCUUGGCAAGAUCCUUGCCAAGGGAAUCCACGAGACCUCCGGAAAAAUCCUUGCCGGGGAUGACCACAGUGCCACGGCAAGACCCUUGCCGGGGCCCCAGCAAGGCCCUUGCCGAGGACAUCCAUGUGGCCACAGCCAGGCCCACACCCAUCAAGGUUCCACCGCCGUUUCUAUGCAGCUGCCAGCCCACCAGCCAGGCAGGCACCUGCGUGUCGAUGCGAGGUCUCCAGGCCAACUCAGCGAGCGCCUACAUGGUGGCAUGCAGAUCUUCGUGAAGACCCUACCACCGCGCCACCUCAGCAGCCUGCCAACCUACAUGGUGCCACACGCCCCGCUGUCCUGGAAGCAUGUCGGGGCAAGAAAGGAGCGGCGAUGGACGGGACGGGCCUAGUUCCCGCCCCCGAUAAAGCAAGGGGACACCUCAGGGGCACAUUAAAUGUGUUCUGUCCCGUAAUGGCUAGCGAUAAGCUCAACCACUGUACACCUUUCCACCUCCUAUGUGCUACUAUGGUGAUCCCCUUGACUAUAAAAGGAGGCCCGAGGCAUACUGGAGAAGGAUUCGGACCCUUGGACAAGUUAUGCAUCGUAGCUAGCUCAAGAACUCCAAGAACAAUCAAAUAGAUACUAAAGCAGGACUAGGGUAUUACGCAUCCUCGCGGCCCAAACCUGGGUAAAUGAUCUGUGUGCUUCCUGACUGCUGAACCCACUCUUCUCACAACCCCGCGCCCGCCGAACCGUAGUAGGGAUUCUUGUGAUCCCAUAGGUGUCGUUCCCACCGACAUUCCACGUUGUUUUUUUCUAUGAGGAGCCAUUUUCAAGUGAUGUCGUUAACCAUUCAACCAACUUGGGUGAGGAAUCAACAUGUGGUUAAAAUCAUUCGUCAACAUGUGCUAGUCUGUCGCAGUCAAUCCAAAAGAGAGGCAUCUUCUCAAAUUAAAAAUCAAACAAGGUCCCCUCAUAUUUCGCUAAAGAGUUGAGAAAGAAGUGUCGAACCAGUGAAACGAAUAUGAAAAUUCUAGCUCUAACUCUGAGAUGGUCCCCCCCAUAAAUCCAUCCUUUUUAACAUGAACCUUUGCCAUGCCCCCAAGACAAUUCCGGAGAGCAUUCCCAAAAGUAUACGAUUGUUUAUAUAGGGGAGGAUAUGUAAUUCUCACCCAUGGCUCCGUCAUACAAAACAUUAUCUUCGAUUACCUAGUUUUGUCAUCAUAAUCCUUCAAAACUAUCACAUUAAAACCAAAUUGCCACAUUCCAUUAUAUAGAGCAUGCUUCUAGACUCCUUUGUUCUCAAAUCUCAAGAAGAUAUUAUUGCCAAUGUGACUUAUUUGGGCUUCCUAGUAGAGUCCCCAUGCGUGUUGCAUAGCCCUAGCAAACACGUUGAUGUUGAUUUGCUGGAGUGAGCAUGCCUUUCCAACCACUGACCACCUAGUAGGCCUCGUGCGUUCUGGAAUCCUGAUCCUCAAAUAUGAGAUCUUUUAGUUCCUUUUUUCUCCAGUUCAGGGAUCCUUGUUUGGUUGAGAAAUUUGCUGCCUCCCCUGAAGCAUUUCCAUCUAUCAGGGAAACUGAAGGUUCUCAUCUUAACGAUCGUUGGUCGCCCGCUUCACUUGAGCUAUCGAUCUAUGCCACGCCUUCUCUCCCAUUGUCGCGAAAAGGAGUGGAAGCACCAAGACCAAUCAAUGUAGGAAUUUACAGCGUCAUCGCCCCAUAGAUGAAUAGAACCAUAACCCUAGCACUACCUGCCGGUCGCCUAUAGUCGCCAUUUGCAUUUCCUAUCAUGGUGGGCCCGCCACUAGGUAUAUAUAUGGGUCCUUCCAUUGGUACUCUUUUCUGUGCUGGAGCCUUUUUGCUACAUUUGUCUUUCUACAAUGGCGGUCGUAUCCAAAUCAUAUAGUCUCCUCUAUCUAUUGGAAGCCAGGAAGUUGAGAGAAGUAUUGUCGCAUGUGAAGACGACACUAAGAGUGUGACACAUAUAGGUGCAAACUUUACGGAUAGUGCAUAAUUUAUGGAUAAUGCAAAUUUCAGCAGAUAUGAACAGCUCCAGGGGUAACAAGCGCACAAAGGAAUCAACCACCAUAAAUGUAUCAUUUCCAAAGAAACAAAGUCACAAAAAGAGAGACAAGAUAUUAGCAUCCUUAUGGAGAACACAUAUAUUUAAAUGUUGCCUUGCUCUUUGAUUAGUAACAAGAAAUAUUUUUUACUAAUGUAAAAUGUGUAAAUCUUGGUAUAUAUGGAAUGUAUUUUAGUCGGUAUGUUUUAAUGAAUCAUAUCAAUUUUUGGUAUGUUGAAAUUAGAACAAGUUCAUGUGCCUUCAAAGCAUGUCAAGGUGUGUUGUUCCACCUCAAAUACACAUACUAAGUGGUUAUUCUCCCUACAUAUAGCCCCAAUUCUCAUUCUCUCUCUCUCUCUCUCUCUCUCUCUCUCUCUCUUUACAUUUCAUAUUCCAGAAUUGCCGACACUACUCCAUAAAGCCUAACUGGUGAAGGUCCAGAAACACCUAGAAGUGACGGGUUCAACUCCCGUUAGUAGUCUAUACUUAGUGGAGAAGAAACAAGCCACUUAUAGGCACGUGCCCGCGAAUGGUGAGCAAAUUGGAAAAGAAAAUCAGGUCAUGGGCGGUCCAAAUCCGGCACCUGCCAACAAUGUGUAGUCUCCACUACUCGAACCUACUUUUCCUGAGUAUGUUGUUGUCUGAAGAAGCCAUAGAGUCAGGGAUCCAAAUAGAGAAAACAAUGAUGGGUAGUCGCUUCAAGAAUAGGAGCCAAGAAGGCGGAUGGAGAAGGCCUCCACCAUGCUGCACCAUUGGCGGAUGAGCACUGACCCGUAUGGUGCAAGGGCCGAGCCAGAACUGUGAAGUAUCAUCAUCUGGGUGUUAGAGGAAGUUGGACUAGUGUGUUGAUCUUCUCGGACAAACUAAAUGAUUUCGUGGAGUUUGCACACAUGCCACAUUCCACAAAGAUAACAACAUUGAGGAGGAGGAGGGGCAACGAAAUGUUUCUUCCUCAGAGGGAUUACUUUCAAGGAAGUGGGGGAAGGGUAUGACAUGAUGAGCUGUUAACAAGGGAAGUUUGAGUGGUUGUGGAGGACACAUCAUGAAGACAAGUGUGCUAGUAGCUUGAUAAGGGAUGAAUGAUAGCAGGAAGGAAUAAUGAGCUUACUGGGUGAGGCUACUAUUUUUUAAGUUGCGACCUAAAUUAUAGGGUAAUUCUUUAGUCACUAUUAGGAUGUGACUAGGGCUUGUAAGUGGUGGGCUGUAUAUUACUGACAAGCAGCAUGUUUAGCCUCCAAAUUGUCCUCUGUCACUGGUAACAAUGUAUCAUUGAUGGACCACAUAUUGGGCCCGUCACUACUACCUUUUCUAAAAAAAAUAGAAUUUUAGUUAUAGUCAGGUUCACAACAAUCCCGGUGGCCAUUACUGCUAUGUAGCACUGCUGACGGGUUUUGUGACCCACCACGUUUGAUCGAUAACUAGCCGAGAACUCUAGUGUAGUGCACAUUUGUUUCAUUGAAAUUUUGUUAAUGUUUUUCUGUGCACAAAGACAUAUCAAUUGACCCUAACAGGUGUUCUCUUUAGGUGGGGUCGAGAGUGAAGGAGUGCGGAGCUUGGAAACAGGGAAAAUGGCACCAAGAGUGGUUCAGUUCUCCACUAUGAAUACCCACAACAUUGAUCUGAAUGAGGUGCCGACUGAGCAUGUGUAGCUCAAGAAGGAGUAGUAGCCCAUGGAGAAAGAGUAGCGCCUAUGGCACAACAUGAGAUUUAGUAUUCACAAUGUUUGGAGGCUACUUAAAUCCGCAUGUGUGAGCAAAGUAACUCUUGGCCAAAAGCGUAGCCCUGUCAAAAAUUAUCAAAACUAUAUUCCUAUCCCGAGGAUGAUUGGAAGUCUUAUGUGGAACUUUUUGAAUUUAUCGCUUCCUUUUUUUUGGUGAUUGACUGACGCUAUUGCUAGACUUGAGGGAAGGAGUUGGUAUACUGCCUCAUGAUCACCAUGUCAACUCUAAAUGGAUUUUCUAUUCAUUUCUCAUGAUGGUUUUGUUAUGUCGAUUGUUUGAGCAAGGAGUUAUUGAUUCGGUAAAGGUUUGUGAAACAUCAACGGUGGAGCUAGGUUUUAAGUCAUGUGAAAUGACAAUAGUUCAAGAAGCGUGUUCGAUCACGAGAUAACAUAUUUUCUAAGUUGUUCAUCAUGUGUGUUGACACCAUGGGUAGUAUGAGGAAGCUCGGCAUGCAUGUUUGGGUCUGAAAUGACAUGCAUGACCAAAAAAAGGGAUGAAAACAUGGCUAAUAGGAAUCACAAACGAUAUGGUUAUGCAACCACACAAGAUGUCAGAGGGCCCGCAUCCUUACAUAUCGAGGUUGACUUCAUGUGCAAACUGGAUCGCAUCUAAAUUAUUGUAUAUGUAUGUAUGUUAUAACUUGGCAUCUUACCAAACAAAAGAUAUCCAAAAAUAAACUAUUUACCUCUCUUCAAUGCAUAUUCUAGUGGGAGGGUAAUCAUAACCAUAUGGGGAUAUUUUUCCAUAAUAGAAUCUAUAAUGGUCUAGUGAGGCAAGGUGUAAAUGGAGAGGAUAAUAGCCGAACAUAAAAACAUGCAACAUUGUGUCACAAUUGCACCUAGUUUUCUAGUGGAACAGUAUGGAAAUGGAGGAGGCUAAUAGGGAAACACGAGAACACCCAACAUGUUUCUCUACUUACUUCCUAUUGGUACGAAGAGACCGAGACUAGUGAAAGGUUAAUCAUAACAUAUGGACAAGAUCUCUCAUACAAGGUGAAAAUGGAGUGAAUCUUGUGUGAAAAUGGUAACCGAGUAUGAGUGUGCAUAGCAUACGAUCUCCUCCCUUUCUUGUUCGAGUUUCCUUCACCAAUCCUAUAGUAUUCUGAAAUUUUACCGCACAAAGUAAUCGGUUUGUAAUUGAAUGUUCCCCAUAUUGUGACUUUGAUGGUCAUAUGUACGAAACAAUAAGAGCGAUUUGACAUUUUUUGUCCAAGAGAGAUGAUAAGCCCAAAUAAUCUCCAUGGUGAAAUUAACUUCCUCCCUUGAGUCAAACCCACAUCGGUAAAUAUGUGCAACUACAAUCCACCUCAUGGCUAUCUUGGAGUCCUUCAUGUAAUCAAAAGUACCCCAUAUGGUGACUUUGAUAAUCACAUAUACUAUUGGGGAGGAGCAAGGUGACAUUUUUUGCCAAGGAGAAAUGAUAUUCCAUACUAAUUGACCUUCAGAAGCUAAUCGCCUCCAUCAAGUAGACACAUUAUUUGUUAUCCUAUAACUGGAUUCCCCGGAAGCACAAGAAUCCUUAUAAUAGAAUUACAACUCAGCACUUUUUUUUUGAGAUAUUGAGAAUAGUUGCUCUUUGGAGAGCACGGUACUAUGAAAGUUGUAACAUGUGUUCCGCUGUGGUUAUUGUCUCGCCACUCUGUUCUCAACUAUUUUGAUUCUAGAAAACAGAGGCUAUUAGGUCAAAGCCAUAGCGCACGCCUUGUAGUUUUGAUGUGGGGCGAGACAACUUUACCUAGGAACCUCUUUUCCUUCUGACCAGCUCCCUAAAAACAAUGUUCGACUUGCAUGUGUAGUCAGUGUAGACAUGUCAUUGCAAUUCCACCACUAGGAUAUCAAUAAGUCCUAUUUAUUACAUCCCAACAUAUGCCCCCAUAUGGUGACUUUAUAAAUUGAAUACAUUUCACCAAGUUUUUGUAUGCCAAUUAUAGUGAAGGUAGUGACUCACAUGUCGGCCUCCCUAACGGGAAGCAAAAUCAAUCUAACUUUGGCAACCUAAAUAUUUUAUGGAUUCAAGAAACCAUGUUGGAUUUGUGUGGUAUUUAUUUCCACAUAUAACAUAUGAAAUAAAGAAACCAGUUCAGAAUAGGAGUCUUGCAGACACUGAUGUCAAUAAUGUGGAUUAUGGGAAAUCAUAUUAUGUGCCUCAAAAUAAUCCCAAGGUCGUGGCUUAAGAUAUACGUGUACAAUAUUUCAAUGGGUAUGCCCCCUACUAAAUUCAUGAUGUUAAUCGGUUCGCAGAAGCUUAAGUUGAGAAAGAAGCUUGGGCAACAUAUUUCCACACACCCAUCGUGUCUAGGCUCGUCUGAAGCCUAGAUAACCUUAGUCAUGGGAUCAAUGACGGAUAUUAAUAUGUUUACCCGGUUCUUAACUCAAGUCCACCUUGCUUGAUACCAUAUUGAAUGGAAAGUACAUAAUCAAUUUACUUAAGUGGGUGAACAAUGUUGGCUAGUUUAUUUCAACACUCACUUCACUUGCAUCUUUUCGGGGCAUAUAAUGCACCGUGUCCAAAACAUUUUUCUAAAUACUAAAUUCCAAUGGAAAUAUUUAACUAAUUUAGUAGCAAUCUCGUAUGUCAAGGAUAUUUGGCCAAUGAAAAGGAGGGCUCAAAUGCUACUUGUUGGCAGUGAGAAAAAUAUGGGCUGCGUUAGCAUUAUUCACCAAAGCACACAAAAGUCAAGUUCUAUUUUUCCUCCCAUAUUGAUCCUCCAUGGUUCUACAUUGGACAUUACAAAGAGAACAAGUUAUCUUCACACACCGACUAGAGCUAGGGACAAGAACAUGGAUGUUCCACCGUGAAUGUCCAUAUGGUACAAUAAUUGUUGAUAUUCUUUGCGGGAAGGUGAGAUGUUUUCACUUUUCAGAUCGGCGAAGUACUGAUUUCUUAUAGGGGUGACAAGCAGUGUUCUAAAUAUGCAUUUGCAAUUCGUUGUCCAUUUAAAUUUGGUUUCUUCCAUAGAUUAUGUUGGUUUGUUGCUGUAUUGAUCUCAGCACCAAAGUAUACUGAUGUUAGCUAAAUCUAAUCAAAGAACGAUGUUUCUAUCAUGUUCAACAAAUUAGGAAGCUAUGUACAGACCAAAGUCAAGUUGUAGAAGCCCAGACUGCGUGAAAUACGCAUCAUGCAGUACCCAUGUACAUCUUAGAGUUAUGUUAUACUUAACUUCAAGAUAACAAAUGUUAUCAAUUACAGAUGACAAAUAUUAUCACUUGUUACUAUCUUUUGCAGCAUGUUUCCGCAUAUGUUCAUCGUAGAAUUAUCUUAUGUAGUCUCCCAAGGUUCAUGCAACUUGGAUUUUCAUACUCUGGUACUAUUACUGUUUACUAGGACUAGGUGCCACUCUGUAGAAGCUGGGGAUACAGAUGGAGAAACUAGUCAUGUUUUUGUACCAAAAAGUUUGUUCAUAACUAUAACAGGUUUAUUUAUUUUCAGUGUAUAGUGUUGAAACUUAGAGCGUUUUAUCUCAUUGACAAUGAACUAUGCUGGCAAGGAAAAACCUACAUAUGACAUCGAACUAUGCAUGCAGGGCAAACACUCCCCGCAUCAGUGCCAUCACGCCGCGAACCAUGGGAGCUUGAACCUGGAUGGGUGUGAACUUAUGACUGAAGUCAAGGUGAGGGGUCAGGCAUGGAUAGAUAAUAAAGGAGACUUUGUGAAACCAUUAGUAGUAAUAUGGAUGAAACAUUGCCAUGGAGAGAGAAUAAGAGAUUUCGGGAGACAUUUAUAAAUGGAUGCAUACUUGCAAUUGCAAUACAAAAUAUGAUGCUGACAUUUUAUUUUCAUUGUUAUUCCCAUUAAACUUCUCGUGGUGGCUCCAUUAUUCACAGCCUCAGACAUGGAAAUGUUGUUUUGUUCGGUCAAGUAUUGUGUG